rnacentral:rRNA from 1 species
AGCGUACACGGUGGAUGCCCUGGCAGUCAGAGGCGAUGAAGGACGUGCUAAUCUGCGAUAAGCGUCGGUAAGGUGAUAUGAACCGUUAUAACCGGCGAUUUCCGAAUGGGGAAACCCAGUGUGUUUCGACACACUAUCAUUAACUGAAUCCAUAGGUUAAUGAGGCGAACCGGGGGAACUGAAACAUCUAAGUACCCCGAGGAAAAGAAAUCAACCGAGAUUCCCCCAGUAGCGGCGAGCGAACGGGGAGCAGCCCAGAGCCUGAAUCAGUGUGUGUGUUAGUGGAAGCGUCUGGAAAGGCGCGCGAUACAGGGUGACAGCCCCGUACACAAAAAUGCACAUGCUGUGAGCUCGAUGAGUAGGGCGGGACACGUGGUAUCCUGUCUGAAUAUGGGGGGACCAUCCUCCAAGGCUAAAUACUCCUGACUGACCGAUAGUGAACCAGUACCGUGAGGGAAAGGCGAAAAGAACCCCGGCGAGGGGAGUGAAAAAGAACCUGAAACCGUGUACGUACAAGCAGUGGGAGCACGCUUAGGCGUGUGACUGCGUACCUUUUGUAUAAUGGGUCAGCGACUUAUAUUCUGUAGCAAGGUUAACCGAAUAGGGGAGCCGAAGGGAAACCGAGUCUUAACUGGGCGUUAAGUUGCAGGGUAUAGACCCGAAACCCGGUGAUCUAGCCAUGGGCAGGUUGAAGGUUGGGUAACACUAACUGGAGGACCGAACCGACUAAUGUUGAAAAAUUAGCGGAUGACUUGUGGCUGGGGGUGAAAGGCCAAUCAAACCGGGAGAUAGCUGGUUCUCCCCGAAAGCUAUUUAGGUAGCGCCUCGUGAAUUCAUCUCCGGGGGUAGAGCACUGUUUCGGCAAGGGGGUCAUCCCGACUUACCAACCCGAUGCAAACUGCGAAUACCGGAGAAUGUUAUCACGGGAGACACACGGCGGGUGCUAACGUCCGUCGUGAAGAGGGAAACAACCCAGACCGCCAGCUAAGGUCCCAAAGUCAUGGUUAAGUGGGAAACGAUGUGGGAAGGCCCAGACAGCCAGGAUGUUGGCUUAGAAGCAGCCAUCAUUUAAAGAAAGCGUAAUAGCUCACUGGUCGAGUCGGCCUGCGCGGAAGAUGUAACGGGGCUAAACCAUGCACCGAAGCUGCGGCAGCGACGCUUAUGCGUUGUUGGGUAGGGGAGCGUUCUGUAAGCCUGUGAAGGUGUGCUGUGAGGCAUGCUGGAGGUAUCAGAAGUGCGAAUGCUGACAUAAGUAACGAUAAAGCGGGUGAAAAGCCCGCUCGCCGGAAGACCAAGGGUUCCUGUCCAACGUUAAUCGGGGCAGGGUGAGUCGACCCCUAAGGCGAGGCCGAAAGGCGUAGUCGAUGGGAAACAGGUUAAUAUUCCUGUACUUGGUGUUACUGCGAAGGGGGGACGGAGAAGGCUAUGUUGGCCGGGCGACGGUUGUCCCGGUUUAAGCGUGUAGGCUGGUUUUCCAGGCAAAUCCGGAAAAUCAAGGCUGAGGCGUGAUGACGAGGCACUACGGUGCUGAAGCAACAAAUGCCCUGCUUCCAGGAAAAGCCUCUAAGCAUCAGGUAACAUCAAAUCGUACCCCAAACCGACACAGGUGGUCAGGUAGAGAAUACCAAGGCGCUUGAGAGAACUCGGGUGAAGGAACUAGGCAAAAUGGUGCCGUAACUUCGGGAGAAGGCACGCUGAUAUGUAGGUGAAGUCCCUCGCGGAUGGAGCUGAAAUCAGUCGAAGAUACCAGCUGGCUGCAACUGUUUAUUAAAAACACAGCACUGUGCAAACACGAAAGUGGACGUAUACGGUGUGACGCCUGCCCGGUGCCGGAAGGUUAAUUGAUGGGGUUAGCGGUAACGCGAAGCUCUUGAUCGAAGCCCCGGUAAACGGCGGCCGUAACUAUAACGGUCCUAAGGUAGCGAAAUUCCUUGUCGGGUAAGUUCCGACCUGCACGAAUGGCGUAAUGAUGGCCAGGCUGUCUCCACCCGAGACUCAGUGAAAUUGAACUCGCUGUGAAGAUGCAGUGUACCCGCGGCAAGACGGAAAGACCCCGUGAACCUUUACUAUAGCUUGACACUGAACAUUGAGCCUUGAUGUGUAGGAUAGGUGGGAGGCUUUGAAGUGUGGACGCCAGUCUGCAUGGAGCCGACCUUGAAAUACCACCCUUUAAUGUUUGAUGUUCUAACGUUGACCCGUAAUCCGGGUUGCGGACAGUGUCUGGUGGGUAGUUUGACUGGGGCGGUCUCCUCCUAAAGAGUAACGGAGGAGCACGAAGGUUGGCUAAUCCUGGUCGGACAUCAGGAGGUUAGUGCAAUGGCAUAAGCCAGCUUGACUGCGAGCGUGACGGCGCGAGCAGGUGCGAAAGCAGGUCAUAGUGAUCCGGUGGUUCUGAAUGGAAGGGCCAUCGCUCAACGGAUAAAAGGUACUCCGGGGAUAACAGGCUGAUACCGCCCAAGAGUUCAUAUCGACGGCGGUGUUUGGCACCUCGAUGUCGGCUCAUCACAUCCUGGGGCUGAAGUAGGUCCCAAGGGUAUGGCUGUUCGCCAUUUAAAGUGGUACGCGAGCUGGGUUUAGAACGUCGUGAGACAGUUCGGUCCCUAUCUGCCGUGGGCGCUGGAGAACUGAGGGGGGCUGCUCCUAGUACGAGAGGACCGGAGUGGACGCAUCACUGGUGUUCGGGUUGUCAUGCCAAUGGCACUGCCCGGUAGCUAAAUGCGGAAGAGAUAAGUGCUGAAAGCAUCUAAGCACGAAACUUGCCCCGAGAUGAGUUCUCCCUGACUCCUUGA